AGCGCAACCCUCGCCCUUAGUUGCCAGCAUUUAGUUGGGCACUCUAAGGGGACGUGCCGGUGAUAAGCCGAGAGGAAGGUGGGGAUGACGUCAAGUCCUCAUGGCCCUUACGGGCUGGGCUACACACGUGCUACAAUGGUGGUGACAGUGGGCAGCGAGCACGCGAGUGUGAGCUAAUCUCCAAAAGCCAUCUCAGUUCGGAUUGCACUCUGCAACUCGAGUGCAUGAAGUUGGAAUCGCUAGUAAUCGCGGAUCAGCAUGCCGCGGUGAAUACGUUCCCGGGCCUU
rnacentral:rRNA from 1 species